rnacentral:rRNA from 1 species
AGAACGAACGCUGGCGGCAUGCCUAACACAUGCAAGUCGAACGAGACCUUCGGGUCUAGUGGCGCACGGGUGCGUAACGCGUGGGAAUCUGCCCUUAGGUUCGGAAUAACUCAGAGAAAUUUGAGCUAAUACCGGAUGAUGACGUAAGUCCAAAGAUUUAUCGCCUAGGGAUGAGCCCGCGUAAGAUUAGGUAGUUGGUGGGGUAAAGGCCUACCAAGCCGACGAUCUUUAGCUGGUCUGAGGGGAUGAUCAGCCACACUGGGACUGAGACACGGCCCAGACUCCUACGGGAGGCAGCAGUGGGGAAUAUUGGACAAUGGGCGAAAGCCUGAUCCAGCAAUGCCGCGUGAGUGAUGAAGGCCUUAGGGUUGUAAAGCUCUUUUACCCGGGAUGAUAAUGACAGUACCGGGAGAAUAAGCCCCGGCUAACUCCGUGCCAGCAGCCGC